UAAGAGCUUUCCUAGGUUUAACUGGGUACCACAGGGAUUUCAUCCCUAAUUUUGCUUCUAUUGCAGGUCCUUUGUACCAACUUCUAAAGAAAGGUGUACAGUGGGAAUGGUCUGAGCAACACACGGAGGCAGUAUCCCAACUAAAACAGGCCAUUAUCAAGGCUCCGGUGUUGAUCACACCAAAUCCUGAAAUACCCUAUCAUCUGGAGGUAGCGGUCGCAGGAGCAACUUCCUCCUCAGGACUUAAGUGAUCAGACGAAAUCGCAACAACUGGAGCCCAGCAGUUUGCAACCAUGAAAUUGACGUUGACAUUUUUGACUUAUUACACCCUUAUUGUUGCUCUAAGGGUAGGACUAUGCCAAAAUCUUAAGUCUGAAACUGAACUAUUGCAACCCCAGGAAACCAGACGACCGGAUCGUACUCCGUUGUCUGAGCCCAAGCAACAGAACAUACCAACAAAGAAGGAACGGACUAUUAUACUUAAUCCAGAACUGGUCAACAACCCGAUUCAACAGGUUAAGGGAAUUCGGGGGGAGGAUGUUACUUUUGAAUAUCAAUUGG